rnacentral:rRNA from 1 species
GACGAACGCUGGCGGCGUGCCUAAUACAUGCAAGUCGAGCGAACAGACGAGGAGCUUGUUCCUCUUACGUGAGCAGCGGACGGGUGAGUAACACGUGGAUAACCUACCUAUAAGAGUGGGAUAACUUCGGGAAACCAGAGCUAAUACCGGAUAAUAUAUUUAACCACAUGGUUUAAUAGUGAAAGAUGGUUUUGCUGUCACCUAUAGAUAUAUCCCCGCCGCUUUAGCAGUUUGGUAAGGUAACGGCCAACCAAGGCAACAAUGCUUAGCCACCCUGAGAGGGUGAUCGGCCACACUGGAACUGGAACACGGUCCAGCCUCCUAGGGGGGCCGGCGGAAGGGAAUCUUGCCAAAUGGGGGAAAGCUUGCCGAAGCAACGCCGCGUGGGUGAUGAAGGUCUUCGGUUCUUAAAACUCUUUUAUAGGGGAAGACCAAAUGUGUAAGUGACUAUGCACGUAUUGACGGUACCUAAUCAGAAAGCCACGGCUAACUACGUG